rnacentral:rRNA from 1 species
UCCGGCCUACGGGGCGCAGCAGUGAGGAAUAUUGGUCAAUGGGCGGGAGCCUGAACCAGCCAAGUCGCGUGAGGGAAGACGGUCCUAUGGAUUGUAAACCUCUUUAGGCGGGGAGCAAUGCCGGGCACGUGUGCCCGGAGGGAGAGUACCCGCAGAAUAAGCAUCGGCUAACUCCGUGCCAGCAGCCGCGGUAAUACGGAGGAUGCGAGCGUUAUCAGGAAUUAUUGGGUUUAAAGGGUGCGUAGGCGGAUUUUU